CCGGGUCCGCCUACUUUUCUUGGGCGAGUACGGGUCGACUUCCAGCUCGCUGUUUGUUUAAAGGCGUAUCCGGAAAGGGUCCUGUGUGUAGAGGGCUGUACCGUGAGGCUGAGACAGAGAGUGAGACAGAGACAGAGAGUGAGAGUGAGAGUGAGAGCGCGGUGCCCGGGCGGAGAUGCUGCUGCUGAUGUUCGCCAACGCCAGUAGUUUGCUGGUCUGCUCGGUCCUCAAACUGCCCCAAAUCAUCACCGUCAUCUCCGCCAAAACUGCCCGAGGACUCAGUGUCCGCAGCCUGCUCCUGGAACUCAUCGGGUUUUUGAUUUUCCUGACGUACCAGACUUACUAUGAGUACCCAUUGACAACAUACUUGGAGUAUCCAGUCUUAAUUGUACAAGAUGUUAUUCUCUUAAUGUGUAUUCUGUUUUAUAAUGGAAACAUUGGAACAGCUUUACCGUACACAAUCUUAUUUAUCAUUGGUUGGCGUCUGUUAACAAUCCAUAAGUUAAUCAUAGACUUAGCUAUGAGUUUGUCUACAUGUAUCAGUGCAUUAAGUAAAUACGCUCAGCUCCAGUCCUUGUGGAAGACUCAUGAUUCUGACCAGGUCAGUGCCCUGACAUGGAGCCUUGCCAUCUAUACUGUAUGCACCAGAAUCUUCACCACCCUGGUGACAACGGCAGACACUGCAGUUCUUAUACGUUAUGCCGUUAUUGGUGUGUUGAAUGUGUGGGUUUUGAUCACGGUAAUGUACUACAGGAAGACCGGAAAGCAAAAGUAGUAAACAGGGUGAGGAGCAGCACUCUACCAAACCGGUUUUCUGGAUUAAAUCAAAUAUGUCGCCUUGGUGAAAAUUGACAAACAACAUUUUGCAUCGUGUCACAAUAAUGAGUAAAAACAACCAAUCCAAAUAUGCUGAGUGAAUUUUGGAUCUAUCCAGGGAAUGCGAGAAGUCUAGCCAUCAAUCUGAACCCCUGGCAUAGUGUAGGAGUGAGUAAAUUAUACUGUCAAAUAAACCAAGGUGAAACCAUCACCAGUCGUCCCUCUGUAAUGAGAGAGCAACUGUGUAGUCCAAGAGGAUUAUGGUGACUUUGCCUUUACAUUGAUAUAUCCUACAGUUUUCUUCUUCACUACCAACCACAUAGCCAACUUUCAUAAUGUAUCUAAACUUCACAAUUGUGCUCUUUAUUAAAACAAAAUCUGAUUUCUAUCAUAUUUUCCAGGGGGCUUUUUUUGGUUGCAAAUUAACAUAAAUGGGCCUGUCAUUGCUGGAAGGCAUGAACUAUUUUGAAACCUGAUUCUUUUUCAAAAAUUGGACAACCUUUUUGGACUCAAAAUGGCCUGGGCUGAUCACAUGGUCAUAUUCCUAGAAACUUCUGAAUCCCACCUGCAUAGUAUAAAAUAAAGGACUUCCAGCCAGCACGAGGCAAGAAACCAUGAAGGCCUACUAUGCUAAAAUGAAUGCCUACGCUUUUAAUUCCCUUUUGAACUUGCAAUGGAAACUCUCAUGGUGGUUGGGGGGGCUACUGUUAAAGUUGCACUGCUAGGCUAAUUGGUAGGUUCUUAAGCUAUCAAAAUUGGCAUUCAGCAUCUGAAAUGCCCAACUCUGUCACAUGCCUAAAAGCAGAGUUUGUUCGACGACUCAGAAUUCCAAAAUUCAGACAGUUGGGCUCUUAACAUCGCAAGAAUAGCAUCGAGAAGACUUGCUUUACAUCGCUCUCUCUCAAAAGUCUCACCUCAAGAAAGAAGCUUGGACAUCAGCUGCCAAACUGCACUAAUUGUCUGCAUACAAGAAUAAUUGUCACAUCUUUGCCAUCAUCUGCUUCCCAGGAAAAGAAUUGCUACAAAUUAAGACAACAUACUUUCAACUGGCCACUAACUCAAUGGACUCAAAGUCAUGUGUAUUAGCAAUAUUGUUGGAUUUUGAGAAAUUCAUAAAUUGUAACUGUUUCUUUCACAUUGUAUGCUUGUGUGUUUGAAUGAAGUAGCAGAACAAUUUCCCACAGGUUGCGUGUUUUGUUAAUAAAUUCUACCUUUAAUUUCACCUUAA